ACGCACGCUGGCGGCGGGAGGAAGAAAGGAAAGGCGAAAGGAAAGGCGCGGCUUUUGGGGGGGGCUCGAGUGGCGAACGGGUGAGUAACACGUGAGUAACCGGCCCUUGACUUUGGGAUAACUUCAGGAAACUGGGGCUAAUACCGGAGAGGAGCUCCUGCUGCAUGGUGGGGGUUGGAACGUUUCGGCGGUUGGGGCUGGACUCGCGGCUUAUCAGCUUGUUGGUGGGGUAGUGGCUUACCAAGGCUGUGACGGGGAGCCGGCCUGAGAGGGUGACCGGCCACAUUGGGACUGAGAUACGGCCCAGACUCCUACGGGAGGCAGCAGUGGGGAAUAUUGCACAAUGGGCGGAAGCCUGAUGCAGCAACGCCGCGUGCGGGAUCCCUCCCUUCUGGUUGUAAACCGCUUUCGCCUGUGACGAAGCGUGAGUGACGGUAAUGGGUAACGAAGCCCCCCCUCCCUACGUC
rnacentral:rRNA from 1 species